GAAUGAGUUUCUGACCUAUCAACUCGAGACGGCGGGGUAGAGGCCCGCCGCGGUAACGACGGGUAACGGGGGAAUCAGGGUUCGAUCCGGAGAGGGAGCCCGAGAAACGGCUACCACUUCCAAGGAAGGCAGCAGGCGCGCAACUUACCCUAAUCUCGAUUCGAGGAGGUAGUGAACAAGAAAUACCGAUGCGGGACCCUACGGGUGCCGCGUUCGGAAUGAGUACGAUUCGAACCACCUAACGAGGAACGAUCGGAGGGCAAGUCUGGUGCCAGCAGCCGCGGUAAUUCCAGCUCCAAUAGCGUACGUUAAAAGUUGCUGCAGUUAAAAAGCUCGUAGUUGAACGUUCGGGUUCCGCGGGACGGGGCCGCCCCGCGAGGGACGGCGCCGCCCCGGGGCUCGUGAUAUCUCAUCUCGCCGCCCGUCGCGAGGCGGACGGAGGGAUGGAUGAGGUUACCUGGAAAAAAAUCGGGGGC
rnacentral:rRNA from 1 species